AUGACAAUGACACUGCAAACAAGAACUCAUAGUAGGAAGUUAUCUGAGACUUUGGUUUUAAACAAUAUUCCUGGAAGUCAUCUUUUAGAACUACAAGAUAUUCACCACUUUGAUUCCCAACAGAAUGCUGUAGUGGGCGUGUGUGAAGAUGAAGAUCUGAAAGUUUCAGAAAUAUGAACAGAAGAAGAGAGCUGAAUGUUGAUGACGGUUGUGGGUUCUGGACCCUGGUUCUUCUGCCUGGUUAUGCUACCAGCCCACACCUCUGCCCAGCUAUGGUGUGGAGACCAGCU
rnacentral:lncRNA from 1 species